CGAUCGUACGGGAGGCAGCAGUAAGGAAUAUUGGUCAAUGGGGGCAACCCUGAACCAGCCAUGCCGCGUGCAGGAUGACUGCCCUAUGGGUUGUAAACUGCUUGGCCGGGGAAUAAACCCCUAAUACGAGUGGAGAGCUGAAGACUCGAGAGUAGAUCGAUUUGGCCG
rnacentral:rRNA from 1 species